CUCUUUCAAAAAGAGAGAAUCGUCAGUAUAGUAAAAGAAGUGUGAGCUGCUGUUUGUCAUUUGAUUUUAGCUAAUGCCCAGGAUUUUAGUGCUCAUUUAACAGACCUAUGCCCAUCAUGAAAUAGACAAAAUAUGAAUUCCUUUAAAAUACCUUGGAAUUUUGUCAAAAGUGGUUAUUACGAAAACCCUAAAAAAAGGCAAUAAAUAAAAAUGUGUAAAUUA